rnacentral:lncRNA from 13 species
AUGAGUGAGCCACUUGCUCACCCAGUGGCUUCCAGGUCGCCUCCGCCUCUAGGGGUACCAGUAGCCGGGCAGAGGAGGAAGGAGAGUGGGUGCUCCUCCCUGCAGGGGUCCCACUGGGGCCGGGACUGGACAGGAUGCACCCCUCAACACAAGGCCGCAGCUCCUAUCAGUGCACCCUCUCCACACAGCUUUCUCUCUCCAGGUAUGGGGACCGCUCCCACCACUGCAAUUCAAGUCUAUAGAUUGGAAGCUUCCCCUCCAUUCGUCCCAGAGAUGCACCACUCCGUGAUGCUCCUAGCCUCUGGGGCACCUGUCUCCAAAUUGUCAGGGAAAGAUUCCAGUUACCUGUUAUCUUGGAAGAGGCAUCUACUCCUGGACCAACACAUCGUGACCAGGGGAAGGGUACUGAGGAAGAGACGGUAUGAUAUAUUAUUAAUAGCUCUCACACGGCUAUAAAGAAUUGCCUGAGACUGGCUAAACCUCUUUUUUUCUACAAAGAAAAGAGGUUUAAUAGACUCACAGUUGCACAUGGCUGGGAAGGCCCCAGCAAGCUUACGAUCGUGGUGGAAGGGGAAGCAGGCAUGUCUCACAUGGCGGCAGGUGAGAGUGUGUAGGAGGAGCUGUCAAUAACACUCAUAAAAUCAUCAGAUCUUGUGAGAACUCACUCACUAUCACAGGGACAGCGUGGGGGAAACCACCCCCAUGACCCAGUCACCUCCCGCCAGCUCCCACCGGCCACAUGUGGGGAUUAUGGGGACGAUAAUUUGGAUGAGAUUUGGGUGGGGUCACAGAGCCAAACCAUAUCAAUAACUAAACAUCUAUACAUACAUACAUAUAUAUAUAUAUUCUUGAUUAUAAUUCAGACAUUUAAAAAAUCUGCAACAUGAGAUAUUAAAAUGAUCUUUGUCAAAUCGUGGUGCAAAUGAUUUAGACCAGUCGACCGCAAUGAUUAUGGCUUUGAUCGAUCUUCUUUGACCAUUUUUGAAAAUUUACUGAGCGUACAGACAUCGAUGUCUCAUCAUCUUCAAACUGGCUUUGCUUUCGCCAGUCCCCUCAUUAGGGUGUUAAAUGAAACCUAACAUACUUUCAUUGGUAGAGUUAUAUUUUUCACAUUUUGAAAUUUCUAUUUGUAACAUUGGUCAUGUGGUAACCUUCCACCUUCUGUAAAAUUCAUGCUUUAACACCUGCCCUGUAAGCAUAAGCUGGGCACUCCCGGCUCUGGACAGGAGGUCUGAGGUGCUUGGGUCACCCCGCCUUGGUGUCCCGCCUCCCUCAUUGCCUAACCCCACCGUCACUCCCCACUGCUUAGGAGCACUUUUCAAAUACCAACCAAGCAAUCCAGAGUCCAUACCUACAACUACCUUCCUUCUCAGGCUCUCACACUCUAGAGGUCAGUAUCCACCUGCCCGCUCUCCCCAAAGCCAGGUACCAGACAACUGGAGGCGGCCCUGUGCCCAGAGCCCACUGAAACUAUUCAAGUGAGUCAGUGCUGAGCCUCACUUGUUCCUGCCAUGGAAACCACCAUAAAGUGUCUUCCCUGCACAUUCCUCUAUCUGUGUCUCCUGUGCAACCCUGGUGCAUCCCACGGGGCAGGAUGUGUCCCGCUUGGUGAGAUGUGUCCCCUCCUCUUGGGAACUGCGAGUGGCAGCUAUCAUUUGAAUGGCAGUCAUCUCAGAUCUGUUGGUCUCGUUGUGACCAGAAUUUCCUAUUUAAUACCCUGUAGUUUAGAACAGACAGCACCAAGAUCCUGUCUUCCCUUCCUGCUACGCAGCCGGGCCCAACACCUCCCCAGCUGUGUCCUCUACUCUCAGAUCACUGCAUUUAGCUGAUCUCAGGGAGGGGGACAGAGCGGACAUGGCACACACCGUUCCCCACCUGCAUCCCACUCCUGGCUCCCACCCUCGCCCCUAACCCAGCCUGGGCCGCCUUCUCCUGGACCCAGGGACCUGACUCAUUUAUUUUCUUUCCAAUCUGGUGAUUAAAGCACAGCCUGAGUCCUCCAGGACUUUGAUUCCAGUACCCAUCUAGACCUCCAUUUAGAACAUUAAAACCAUUCUCUCUCCAACACGCCCUGCUUUGCAAUUCAAUAGCUUUGUUUCUCGAGAGUAUUGUUCCCUCUCUUGCAGCAUUCAAAAGCCUCCUCAGAAACUCAGAGCCAAGAAUUUGACUCUUGAUAACCUGAAUUUGGUGUGUCAAUGGCCACCUCCACCACCUAAUUCUAAUUUCCUAGUGAAUUAUCUGCAUGUAUCUGUGUAUGUGUGCAAAACAAAAUACUUACCAGUUCAUAUCCGAGUUUAUUAUUCUGCCACUGACAAGCAGAAAUACUGUUUUCAUACCGCCAGUAUCAUAGUUUAUGAAGUUGAUCCAAAGAGUAGUUAUUUCUAGAAUGCUAAAAACAUUCUAAAACCAAUAAAGUCUCAUUGUAUUUGGAACCCA